rnacentral:tRNA from 1 species
UCCCUGGUAGCUCAGAUGGUAAAGAAUCUGUCUGCUGUGCAGGAGACUCAGGUUUGAUCCCUGAGUUGGGAA